rnacentral:rRNA from 1 species
GACAGAGGGUGCAAACGUUGCUCGGAAUUACUGGGCGUAAAGGGCGUGUAGGCGGGAAGGCAAGUCGGGCGUGAAAUCCCCAGGCUCAACCUGGGAACUGCACUCGAAACUGCCUUUCUUGAGUGUCGGAGAGGAAAGCGGAAUUCCUGGUGUAGAGGUGAAAUUCGUAGAUAUCAGGAGGAACACCAGUGGCGAAAGCGGCUUCUGGACGAUAACUGACGCUGAGACGCGAAAGCGUGGGGAGCAAACAGG